rnacentral:rRNA from 1 species
GUAGGUGGCGAGCGUUGUCCGGAAUUAUUGGGCGUAAAGCGCGCGCAGGUGGUUCUUUAAGUCUGAUGUGAAAGCCCCCGGCUCAACCGGGGAGGGUCAUUGGAAACUGGGGAACUUGAGUGCAGGAGAGGAAAGUGGAAUUCCACGUGUAGCGGUGAAAUGCGUAGAUAUGUGGAGGAACACCAGUGGCGAAGGCGACUUUCUGGCCUGUAACUGACACUGAGGCGCGAAAGCGUGGGGAGCAAACAGGGAUUAGAUACCCUGGUAGUCCACGCCGUAAACGAUGAGUGCUAAGUGUUGGGGGGGUUUCCCGCCCCUCAGUGCUGCAGCUAACGCAUUAAGCACUCCGCCUGGGGAUACGGUCGCAAGACUG